CGGAUUAACGAAUUCAAAGAAAAAAAAAAUCAAAUUGGAACAAAAUGACAACAGAACGAAUCCACGUCUGACAUCGCCUGCGUCCUGCCAUCGUUCAAGAUCGAAUUAAUAUUCUACGAUGGAAUGUUGUAAUGGUGACCUACCUCUCGAAGAGAUAUAUUCUGGUAUACGACAUUCUCUCUCAAUUCGUAUAGUUGAAUCCAUUAGAAUCAAUUGGUUGAACUAGAUGACCCCAACGAGAAUCGAUAUUGGCUAAAA